AUUGAACGCUGGCGGCAUGCUUUACACAUGCAAGUCGAACGGUAACAGGCCUUCGGGUGCUGACGAGUGGCGAACGGGUGAGUAAUGCAUCGGAACGUACCCAGAGGUGGGGGAUAACGCAGCGAAAGCUGUGCUAAUACCGCAUGUGAUCUGAGGAUGAAAGCGGGGGACCGAGCAGCAAUGUUUGGCCUCGCGCCUUUGGAGCGGCCGAUGUCGGAUUAGCUAGUUGGUGGGGUAAAGGCCUACCAAGGCGACGAUCCGUAGCUGGUCUGAGAGGACGACCAGCCACACUGGGACUGAGACACGGCCCAGACUCCUACGGGAGGCAGCAGUGGGGAAUUUUGGACAAAGGGCGCAAGCCUGAUCCAGCAAUGCCGCGUGCGGGAAGAAGGCCUUCGGGUUGUAAACCGCUUUUGGCAGGAACGAAACGGUAUCCGCUAAUACCGGGCGCUAAUGACGGUACCUGCAGAAUAAGCACCGGCUAACUACGUG
rnacentral:rRNA from 1 species